ACCCAGAAGACGAGUCUCAAAUCGAACGAAAUGCGCGUCGUGGAU
rnacentral:hammerhead_ribozyme from 1 species